ensembl:lncRNA
CACAGGUGAGAAGGCAGCGCCGAGGAAGAGGAGGGCGGGGGUGAAGAGCCGGGAGGAGAGGAAGGCUCACCCCGAGCCCACCCCUGGGGAUGCCCCCCAUGCUCUGCGGGCACAUGGCCGGAGGUGCCCAUGGGAUCCUGUCUCUGCUGACCGUGGUGUUCGUCCUGCCAGAGGUGUCAGGACUCCAGUGUUACGGCUGCAACAUCGUGGUUGGCACCAAAAACGUGGACAUGGGGUGCUCCAACCCCGAGGUGAUCACCUGCUCCCAGUCCCACCAGGGCUUCAAGCACCGGUUCUGCAUUAAAACAGAGAGCGUGGUCCUGGGCAUCCUGCUGACCAGCGGCUGUGCCACCUCUCGCCACUGCCAGCAGCAGGAGCUGCCGGGGGUCCGCAUCCACUGCUGCGACACCGACCUGUGCAACACCUCCCCCGGAGCCCCCCGGCCGCCCCCCGGCCACCUCCUGCUGCUGCCCUGCAUCCUCACCGCCCUGCUCCUCUGGUGAGCCCCCCGUGGGUCUGGGGGAUGUGCCCGGCUCGUGGAAAUGCUGCACUGCAGGCUGCUCUUCCUGCUUGGAGGUCGAUGGCUGUGCAGACCCAACUCCCCACCCCACUGGAUGCCAGCAGAUGGUCCAAAAGCUGUGUAGACUCUGGAAAUCAAAGCAGACAGAAAGUCUGCAGUGAUAAUCACCCUCCUUUAGCCUUUUUUUUGUGUGUGUGUGCUCACCAGUGAUGCUGGCAGUGACAGAGGGAGGGUUGGGAUGGAGGAACCUCUCAAAGCUUCACUAUUCCCAUCCCUGUGGAAGGGCAGGAAGAGGAUGGAGAGUGGCAAAUGGAACCAUGGAAUGGUUUAGGUUGGAAGGGAUUUUAAAGAUCACCCCAUUCCAACCCCCUGCUCAUGUGGUGGUGGCAGUGGGGACAGGGAGCUGGGGAGUCACAGCACAACUCCUGGGACAGUUUAUCACCAAUUUUUCAUGGUUUGUCCCCGUUUCUCUUUCCAAAAUAAGGAGAGGAGCUGAGAUAAAAGUCGCUACACUUCUCUCAAAAAACUUUUUGGGAUAGAGAUGCAGAAAGCUGCCAGGGGGCUGGAGGCUGUUGGGAAUUAUGUUCUGGGGUCAGUCUGGUUCCAAGAGGCUGAGUGCUCCAGAGAGCACGAGCCAACCUGAGCUUAUCUCAGCUCUGAGCACUCCUGACAUUGGAUAAAGAGCAUUGUUUACCCAAGAACAAUGUGGGGUUAAAAUUUAGUAAGUCCUUGUGCAACUCUUUAUGGAGAGGCAGCAAGGACAAAUAAACAUCUCUCAAAGAGAGUCAGUACUCAGGCUCAGUGUUUAAUUCAUUCUCUGGAAAUGCAGCUUGUUUACAGCCAUUCAUUGCAGGGGCUUGGAGCAGCAGGGGUCUGAUCCACUCCAAAUUUCAGGCAGAAUAAUAUCAUCCUUAUUUUGCUUUGGUUUGUCCUUAGGAGAGAACACAAGGUCAAACCUUCAACUGGUACAAAGUUGUUCUGAACUUUGUGAGUGAGGGUUUUUUUUUGUAUGUUUGUGUUUUGGGGUUUUUUGGCUUUUUUUGUUAUUGGUUUUUUGUUUGUUUGUUUGACAAAGUUUUUCCUCUGCUCUCUCUCCCUUUCCAUGCCUCCCUCUCCUUCCAGCCCAGGAGGAGCCCAGGGUACC